AUGGGAAGGCUUCUUCCUCCCCUGUCCCGAUGCCAUGAACGACGCAGCUCCACCACCAGACCAUGGAGACGGAGCUCCUUCUCCCGCAUCACUCAUGGAGCCUCCCUCUCAGCGCCCGGAGCCCUAGAGAGAAUUCAAGGCCAUGGCCGGAGAGAGGAGCUGCUCCUAGUACAGGACGCCAUGGAAGGUUCUCCUUUCUUGUUCUGCCUUUUUAAUUUUUCUGUUUCUCUUCCGGAUCUAGACAAGUUGAAGGCUCUGUUUUGUGCAGGUGCUGCUCUGAUGAGGAGAAACUGCUGCUGUAGAACGUCCUCCUCCCAUCCCCUACCCCCACACGUGGUGAGCUCCUAUGCAUAUGUGGAUAAUCAGGAACUAAUGUUUAAUUGA
rnacentral:rRNA from 1 species